rnacentral:rRNA from 1 species
UCNNNNNNNNNNNNNNNNNNNNGACGAAAAAUGAAUACCAAGUCUCAAGAGUGAACACGUAAUUCAUUACGAAGUUUAAUUCAUUGAGCAUCAAACUUUUAAAUUGAAGAGUUUGAUCAUGGCUCAGAUUGAACGCUGGCGGCAGGCCUAACACAUGCAAGUCGAACGGUAACAGGAAGCAGCUUGCUGCUUUGCUGACGAGUGGCGGACGGGUGAGUAAUGUCUGGGAAACUGCCUGAUGGAGGGGGAUAACUACUGGAAACGGUGGCUAAUACCGCAUAACGUCGCAAGACCAAAGAGGGGGACCUUCGGGCCUCUUGCCAUCAGAUGUGCCCAGAUGGGAUUAGCUUGUUGGUGAGGUAACGGCUCACCAAGGCGACGAUCCCUAGCUGGUCUGAGAGGAUGACCAGCCACACUGGAACUGAGACACGGUCCAGACUCCUACGGGAGGCAGCAGUGGGGAAUAUUGCACAAUGGGCGCAAGCCUGAUGCAGCCAUGCCGCGUGUAUGAAGAAGGCCUUCGGGUUGUAAAGUACUUUCAGCGGGGAGGAAGGUGUUGUGGUUAAUAACCGCAGCAAUUGACGUUACCCGCAGAAGAAGCACCGGCUAACUCCGUGCCAGCAGCCGCGGUAAUACGGAGGGUGCAAGCGUUAAUCGGAAUUACUGGGCGUAAAGCGCACGCAGGCGGUCUGUCAAGUCGGAUGUGAAAUCCCCGGGCUCAACCUGGGAACUGCAUUCGAAACUGGCAGGCUUGAGUCUUGUAGAGGGGGGNNNNNNNNNNNNNNNNNNNNGAAUUCCAGGUGUAGCGGUGAAAUGCGUAGAGAUCUGGAGGAAUACCGGUGGCGAAGGCGGCCCCCUGGACAAAGACUGACGCUCAGGUGCGAAAGCGUGGGGAGCAAACAGGAUUAGAUACCCUGGUAGUCCACGCCGUAAACGAUGUCUACUUGGAGGUUGUGCCCUUGAGGCGUGGCUUCCGGAGCUAACGCGUUAAGUAGACCGCCUGGGGAGUACGGCCGCAAGGUUAAAACUCAAAUGAAUUGACGGGGGCCCGCACAAGCGGUGGAGCAUGUGGUUUAAUUCGAUGCAACGCGAAGAACCUUACCUGGUCUUGACAUCCACGGAAGUUUUCAGAGAUGAGAAUGUGCCUUCGGGAACCGUGAGACAGGUGCUGCAUGGCUGUCGUCAGCUCGUGUUGUGAAAUGUUGGGUUAAGUCCCGCAACGAGCGCAACCCUUAUCCUUUGUUGCCAGCGGUCCGGCCGGGAACUCAAAGGAGACUGCCAGUGAUAAACUGGAGGAAGGUGGGGAUGACGUCAAGUCAUCAUGGCCCUUACGACCAGGGCUACACACGUGCUACAAUGGCGCAUACAAAGAGAAGCGACCUCGCGAGAGCAAGCGGACCUCAUAAAGUGCGUCGUAGUCCGGAUUGGAGUCUGCAACUCGACUCCAUGAAGUCGGAAUCGCUAGUAAUCGUGGAUCAGAAUGCCACGGUGAAUACGUUCCCGGGCCUUGUACACACCGCCCGUCACACCAUGGGAGUGGGUUGCAAAAGAAGUAGGUAGCUUAACCUUCGGGAGGGCGCUUACCACUUUGUGAUUCAUGACUGGGGUGAAGUCGUAACAAGGUAACCGUAGGGGAACCUGCGGUUGGAUCACCUCCUUACCUUAAAGAAGCGUACUUUGCAGUGCUCACACAGAUUGUCUGAUGAAAA